AACGAACGCUGGCGGCAUGCCUAACACAUGCAAGUCGAACGAGACCUCCGGGUCUAGUGGCGCACGGGUGCGUAAGGCGUGGGAACCUGCCCUUAGGUUCGGAAUAACUCCCCGAAAGGGGUGCUAAUACCGGAUAAUGUCUUAGGACCAAAGAUUUAUUGCCUUUGGAUGGGCCCGCGUUGGAUUAGCUAGUUGGUAGGGUAAAAGCCUACCAAGGCGACGAUCCAUAGCUGGUCUGAGAGGAUGAUCAGCCACACUGGGACUGAGACACGGCCCAGACUCCUACGGGAGGCAGCAGUGGGGAAUAGUGGACAAUGGGCGAAAGCCUGAUCCAGCAAUGCCGCGUGAGUGAUGAGGGCCGUAGGGUUGUAAAGCUCUUUUACCCGGGAUGAUAAUGACAGUACCGGGAGAAUAAGCUCCGGCUAACUCCGUG
rnacentral:rRNA from 1 species